UACAGAGGUCCCGAGCGUUGUUCGGAUUCAUUGGGCGUAAAGGGUGUGUAGGAGGUCGUGAAAGUCAGUUGUGAAAUCUCACCGCUUAACGGUGAAAUGGCAGGUGAUACUACAUGGCUAGAGGAUUUGAGGGGGAAGCGGAAUUCUUGGUGUAGCAGUGAAAUGCGUAGAUAUCAAGAGGAACACCGGUGGCGAAGGCGGCUUCCUGGAAAAUUCCUGACUCUGAAACACGAAAGCUAGGGGAGCAAACGGG
rnacentral:rRNA from 1 species